UCCGGUAUGGUGUAUCGGCUAGCAUCCGUCGCUUUCAUGGGCUUUCGAGCAAUGAAAAGUGUCCGACGAGAGCCGGGUUCGACUCCCGGUACCGGAA